rnacentral:rRNA from 1 species
CGUAUCACUUAAAGCGAUUCAGCGGGUUACGAUUGACGGAGCGAAGCGACGUCAAAGCGUAUACAAAGUCGAGUCGGUUUAAGGAUACGUUCGUUGGGUAGGGGAGCGUUCUGUAAGCCUGUGAAGGUGGCCUGUGAGGGUUGCUGGAGGUAUCAGAAGUGCGAAUGCUGACAUAAGUAACGAUAAAGCGGGUGAAAAGCCCGCUCGCCGGAAGACCAAGGGUUCCUGUCCAACGUUAAUCGGGGCAGGGUGAGUCGACCCCUAAGGCGAGGCCGAAAGGCGUAGUCGAUGGGAAACAGGUUAAUAUUCCUGUACUUGGUGUUACUGCGAAGGGGGGACGGAGAAGGCUAUGUUGGCCGGGCGACGGUUGUCCCGGUUUAAGCGUGUAGGUGUGUGUUCCAGGUAAAUCCGGUUCACUUUAACACUGAGGCGUGAUGACGAGGCACUACGGUGCUGAAGCAACAAAUGCCCUGCUUCCAGGAAAAGCCUCUAAGCAUCAGGUAACAUCAAAUCGUACCCCAAACCGACACAGGUGGUCAGGUAGAGAAUACCAAGGCGCUUGAGAGAACUCGGGUGAAGGAACUAGGCAAAAUGGUGCCGUAACUUCGGGAGAAGGCACGCUGACACGUAGGUGAAGUGAUUUACUCAUGGAGCUGAAGUCAGUCGAAGAUACCAGCUGGCUGCAACUGUUUAUUAAAAACACAGCACUGUGCAAACACGAAAGUGGACGUAUACGGUGUGACGCCUGCCCGGUGCCGGAAGGUUAAUUGAUGGGGUCAGCGCAAGCGAAGCUCCUGAUCGAAGCCCCGGUAAACGGCGGCCGUAACUAUAACGGUCCUAAGGUAGCGAAAUUCCUUGUCGGGUAAGUUCCGACCUGCACGAAUGGCGUAAUGAUGGCCAGGCUGUCUCCACCCGAGACUCAGUGAAAUUGAACUCGCUGUGAAGAUGCAGUGUACCCGCGGCAAGACGGAAAGACCCCGUGAACCUUUACUAUAGCUUGACACUGAACAUUGAGCCUUGAUGUGUAGGAUAGGUGGGAGGCUUUGAAGCGUGGACGCCAGUCUGCGUGGAGCCGACCUUGAAAUACCACCCUUUAAUGUUUGAUGUUCUAACGUGGACCCGUUA